rnacentral:tRNA from 1 species
GCAAGUGUGGCAUAGUGGUUUGACUGUUGGACUAUGGCUCUGGAGACCUGGGUUUGAAUCCCAGCUCAGCCA